rnacentral:lncRNA from 1 species
UUGACUGGCCUGAUGGCACAUUUGGUGCUACAGGUUGAGGUGCCUGUGAAGGAGCAAAUGAUGUGGAGGCAGCCUGGGGAACCUGAGACUGGUUGGCAGCAGCAGGAUAAGGUGCUUGUGAAUAAGCAAACGCAGGAGCAGCCUGAGGUGCUUGAGAAGGAGCAAAUGCUGUGGGAGCAGCAUGAGUAACAGGCGGUGGCCCAGCAACUGCAGGCUGAGGUGCCUGAGAGGGGAAAUUAGUAGAAACUGGCUGUUGGAGAACCACGGAUGGAUUCGCAGCUGAUACCUGUGAAGGAAAGGAGGCUGUGUUUGCAAAAAUAUCUUGCUGCUCAGAAGCAGUGUUUGAAGCAAAAGUGAGAUCACCAAGA